GAUUUCAACUGUAAAAGUCAUCAACAACAAAAUUGUAUAACUCAUCAAGAUCUAUAACUUUUAUUUUGGUCAUUUCUUCAUCCGACAAAGUGAUAGUAACAUGGUUCACAAAAUUCAUAUCUCUCAUCUAGUUUUAUAAACUAUAACACAGAUAUGUAAAUUUUGUGAACAAUGUUACUAACACUUUGUCGGAUGAAGAAAUGACAACAUAAAAGUUAUAGAUCUGGUGAGUUAUACAACUUGNUUGUUGAUGACUUUUUUAGUUGAAAUC
rnacentral:pre_miRNA from 1 species